UACGAGGGGGGCAAGUGUUGUUCGGAAUCACUGGGCGUAAAGGGCGCGUAGGUGGCUAGGUAAGCGUGUGGUGAAAGUCCGGGGCUCAACCCCGGAUCUGCCGUGCGAACUGCCAGGCUUGAGCAAUGUAGAGGCAGGUGGAAUUUCGGGUGUAGCGGUGGAAUGCGUAGAUAUCCGAAAGAACACCAGUGGCGAAGGCGGCCUGCUGGGCAUUUGCUGACACUGAGGCGCGACAGCGUGGGGAGCAAACAGG
rnacentral:rRNA from 1 species